UACGGGGGGAGCAAGCGUUGUUCGGAUUUACUGGGCGUAAAGGGCGCGUAGGCGGCGUGACAAGUCACUUGUGAAAUCUCUGAGCUUAACUCAGAACGGCCAAGUGAAACUGUUGUGCUAGAGUGCAGAAGGGGCAAUCGGAAUUCUUGGUGUAGCGGUGAAAUGCGUAGAUAUCAAGAGGAACACCUGAGGUGAAGACGGGUUGCUGGGCUGACACUGACGCUGGAGGCGCGAAAGCCAGGGGAGCAAACGGG
rnacentral:rRNA from 1 species